rnacentral:ncRNA from 1 species
AUUAAAACAUAUUAAAGAUUAGUAAAGUAAGAUAGUAAAUUUUAGAGAAUAGUUGGUUGGUGCAAAACUAUAUUACCCUUACUUGAAGCUCCUUUAUAGUGGAAUUAAUCCUUCCCGCAGGAACUGCGUUAAAACCAAAGAGGUGUGCAUGUUAAUGCAAAGUAGGAUGGUACCGCGAUUUAGAAUCGUUCCUUAA